UACAGAGGUCUCAAGCGUUGUUCGGAUUCAUUGGGCGUAAAGGGUGUGUAGGUGGCGCCGUAAGUCGGGUGUGAAAUUUCGGAGCUUAACUCCGAAACUGCAUUCGAUACUGCCGUGCUUGAGGACUGGAGAGGAGACUGGAAUUCCUGGUGUAGCGGUGAAAUGCGCAGAUAUCAGGAGGAACACCCGGGGCGAAAGCGGCUCUCUGGGACGGUACUGACGCUGAGGCGCGAAAGCUAGGGGAGCAAACAGG
rnacentral:rRNA from 1 species